AUUGAACGCUGGCGGCAUGCUUUACACAUGCAAGUCGAGCGGCAGCGCGGGGGCAACCCUGGCGGCGAGCGGCGAACGGGUGAGUAAUACAUCGGAACGUGUCCCGUAGUGGGGGAUAGCCCGGCGAAAGCCGGAUUAAUACCGCAUAUGCUCUACGGAGGAAAGUGGGGGACUCGCAAGGGCCUCACGCUAUGGGAGCGGCCGAUGUCCGAUUAGCUAGUUGGCGGGGAAAAGCCCACCAAGGCGACGAUCGGUAGCUGGUCUGAGAGGACGACCAGCCACACUGGGACUGAGACACGGCCCAGACUCCUACGGGAGGCAGCAGUGGGGAAUUUUGGACAAUGGGGGAAACCCUGAUCCAGCCAUGCCGCGUGUGUGAAGAAGGCC
rnacentral:rRNA from 1 species